rnacentral:rRNA from 1 species
CCUACGGGAGGCUGCAGUGAGGAAUAUUGGUCAAUGGACGAGAGUCUGAACCAGCCAAGUAGCGUGAAGGAUGACUGCCCUAUGGGUUGUAAACUUCUUUUAUAAAGGAAUAAAACGAGGCACGUGUGCCUUUUUGCAUGUACUUUAUGAAUAAGGAUCGGCUAACUCCGUGCCAGCAGCCGCGGUAAUACGGAGGAUCCGAGCGUUAUCCGGAUUUAUUGGGUUUAAAGGGAGCGUAGAUGGGUUGUUAAGUCAGUUGUGAAAGUUUGCGGCUCAACCGUAAAAUUGCAAUUGAUACUGGCAGUCGUGAGUACAGCUGAGGUAGGCGGAAUUCGUGGUGUAGCGGUGAAAUGCUUAGAUAUAACGAAGAACCCCGAUUGCGAAGGCAGCUUACUAAACUGUGACUGACAUUGAUGCUCGAAAGUGUGGGUAUCAAACAGGAUUAGAUACCCGAGUAGUC